UGUGACUUAGUUUAUUUAGAACAAUCAACCUGCACUUGAUAAGAGAGCACUCUCAGUGACGGCC
rnacentral:tRNA from 1 species